AUGCCGUGGCCGUGGGAGAGUAGUACCGCGGCCCUGGUGGACGCGCGCCACGCGACGACGCUAACGGUGACCAGAUCGAACACCUCGCGGGGCGACGGGUUCGCCGUGACGGACGCCGGCGGCGGAGCGGCCGUGUUGCAGGUGGAGACCUCCUACUUCGGCCGCGACCGCGAUCUGCGUUCGCUCCUCUUCCUAGGCGCCGCCUCGCACCGCCCCUUGCUCCUUGUCGAGGAGUCCCCGUCUCUGUUCAGAGCGGGCCGGCGGUGGGAGGCAUUGAGGGGGCGGUGCGCCGGCCAGGCGGACCGGCUCUUCCUUGCCGUGGACAGGGCGCGUUUUUUCUUCGAGCUGACGAUCAACGUCGACGUGUUCCUGGACGGCAAAUCCUCCGGCGAGGGGGAGCCUGAUUUGGCCGUCCAGAGCAGCGACUACGGCAAUGCGACGACCGUCUCCCGCCGUGGCGCCGCCAUCGCGCAGAUCGACAAGAAGAGGAGCACCUUUUGGGCGGAGCUUGCUGGAGAGCGCACGUACAAUGUCAGGGUCAACCCGGGCGUCGACCAAGUGUUGCAAACAUUUGCUUGCGUGGAUGGUGAGAAGCAGAAGGCUAUCAAAGGCAUCGUGAAGUCUGCCCGAAAGAUACUCUCUGACACCGAGCACACGCCGCGGUACAAAGCCGUGAUGCAGUGUCAGCCGCUGGACUCGAAGGGAGAGAAGAUGACAAGGAAGACUGCUUGCCAGACCAACUUGUCGCGAGAAGAAUACCUGUCAGUGGUGAAGGAACCCUGGAUGAAGGACGAUUGUUGGGAGGCCCUGGUUGACAUGUGGUGUGACCCAGCAUGGCAGGCGCAGCAUGUGGAGAAGGGAAAUGAACGAGCCAAAAUGCCAGGCCCGGCUCAUGUCCAGGGGAGCCGAAACCUAACCGCUCUCAAGCAACACAUGGAGGCGAAGGUUGGUCGACCGGUCCACAUCUUGGAAGCCUGGAAAGAAGGCCACAAGGGGAAGGAUGGCGUUGAGUUCUGCAGCGAGUCGGCGGAGGAGAAGUGGGGGACCUUCAACGAGGUCUUCCAGGAGGUGCACGGGGAGGAAGCCGAACCUACGUCCAAACCCCUUGACCCUGAGCUUCUCAUCAUUGCUGGCGAGGGGAAGGGCCAUGGCCGCCACCUCCUUUGCAACAGGGCGAUCUCCACCACCGGGCACUGCAAGCUGCACGAGAUACGCGCGUCGAGCACCAGCUCAACUCCGUCCAUACGGAGUCGCCCAACCGCCGCAUCACGUGAGAUAGCGUGUCUCAAGGAUUUAAUGGCGCAGCGGGCUGUUGAAGAGGAGCAAAGGCGGAAGGCUGAGGAGGAGUCCAGAGAGAAGGAACGGGCAGACACUAACAAUAGGUUGAAGAUGCUUGAGGAUCAACUACAGCCGGGCUUCAGGGCCCUCAAGCUUCCCUACAAGAAUGACGCGCAACAACAAGCUACAUUCUACAUGCUAAUCCUAACACCGGACAACGACACCCUUAGUAUCGCCGAUCUCUACGACGAUAUUUUGUCGGCUCUGGUAUAUUUCAAGAAGCACACGCCGGCGUGGAAGGGUCCAGUCGGGCGGUUCAUGGUCCCCAAGUUCAAGUUCUUGUUUGAGUUUGAGGCGUCAUUGGACAUGGGAAAGCUUGGUGCCAGUAAGGCUUUCGAUGUCAGUGACUUCUCUGGUAUGGUGAGUAGUAGGGAUGGGGCGCUCGCUAUCACUAGGGUGUACCAUAAGGCCACCAUUGAGGUGGAUGAGGUAGGCACCAUGGCCGCCGCUGCCAUGACAGCCGCAUUUAUGGGGAUGGGAACGACCGCGGAAAGGCUUUCGCGGGGUUGGGGAUGGGAGUCCAAUACCUGCCUGGGGCACAACGCCCAAUCCAAGGCGACGCCGUCCUCGUGCGCGCUCGCGGUGGCCAUGACGGCGCAGGCGCUCGCGCCGCCGCCGCCGGAGCCGCGGCAGCUCAGCCUGGCGGACCUCAGGGCCGUCUCCGUGCUCGGCCGCGGCGCCAAGGGCGUCGUCUUCCACGUCGUGCCCGAGGGCGAGGGCGGCGCCGGCGACGUCGCCAUGGCACUCAAGGCGGUCUCGCAGGAGGCCGUGCGGCACAAGAAGAGCGGCGGGAGCGGCGGCGGGGACGGACAGCAGCGGCGGCGACCUCAACUCCCUCCGCCGCCGCCAGACCGAGAUGUUCUCCGACUCCGUCAUACGCGGCUAUUGAUUGGUCUCAGGUCCAUGGAGCUCCAACGUCAAGGGCACAAAGCAGCAGCAGCAGCAAAGACAGAGGCCAAGGCAUUCAUCCAGGAGGUAUGUAUAGAUUAUUAUUGUAGAACAACAUCAGGAUCUAAUGUUGUCGAGGUUGCUGCUGCUGUGACAGAAGAUCAGAAGAAGCUUGGAGAUGCGCUCCAUAGUUUUAGUUGA
rnacentral:rRNA from 1 species